rnacentral:rRNA from 1 species
UACGUAGGGGGGCUAGCGUUGUCCGGAAUCAUUGGGCGUAAAGCGCGUGUAGGCGGUCCGGUAAGUCCGCUGUGAAAGUCGAGGGCUCAACCCUCGAAUGCCGGUGGAUACUGUCGGGCUAGAGUACGGAAGAGGCGAGUGGAAUUCCUGGUGUAGCGGUGAAAUGCGCAGAUAUCAGGAGGAACACCAAUUGCGAAGGCAGCUCGCUGGGACGUUACUGACGCUGAGACGCGAAAGCGUGGGGAGCAAACAGG